GCUUCCUGGCACUGUGCCUGAAUAGAGGGUGGAGUGUGGCAAGGGAAGAAACAGAACAGUGAGGAGGCUCCUGCAGUGAUGCGGGUGAGGAGUAACGGUAGCUCGGAGCAGAAUGGAGGCGGUGGAAGUGGAGAGAAGUGGUUAGAUUCUGGGCCUCUUCUGGCGAUAGAGACGAUGAGAUUCACACAAGACUUAGUUGGUGGAGGGAAGCGGAUGAGAGAAACAGAACACUGGCGACCAUUCCAAGGUUUUGGCUUGAGCACUUGGAUGGACAGUUAGUGGGGAGGAGGCGGAAAGAUUGUGAGAGGAGCAGGUUUAGGACAGAGAAUCUGGGAUUUCGUUUGGAUGUGGUAGAUUUGAGGUCCUUUGCUCUGUAAGGUCUUUCCUGAACCCUGGGCUGGGUCCAGCACCUCCUCUGGGUUCCCACAGCCUCCUGAGCACCCCCUGGGCCAGCCCUGACCACUCUGUGUUGUAACCAGGACAGAGGAGGGUGCGCUCGCACUGCACCCAAGUUGAAGGGCGAGAGCGAGAAGGUGUCAGGCUGGGCCGCAGAAUCCAAAGCGGGUCAGCAGGUACAACAGCUGCUUAAGGCACUCCUACACGGAGAGAGGGAUUGAGAGAUCACGGAAAAGGGUGCCAUCUUUCCAGGGACGCCUACCAGAACGCGGGGGAGAGAAAUACAGAGACCCUCAACUCCUCCACGUCAUCGCGACAAAGGGCCAGGACCGGCCGGCCGCGGGAUGGGCGCUCACCUGGGCAGAACUGGAGCUGGAAGGACCAACCUCCAAGGAAACGGGGAGCGGACGGAAGGACUACGACUCCCGGAAGGCUUUGGGCCCAUCCGCCUACGACUCCCAGGUGCCCCUGCGUUGCUUCGCCCUGAGACACUUGCGGCUCUCGGACAAACUGGGCCUACAGUCCCCCAGAGAUCCUCGCGGCAGCGCUGCAGUGCGCACGCCUCCCAGAGUGCACUAGGCCGGUCCGGCCCGCUUCCCGUCUGCGCCUGCGCGAGCACAAUCGCCGUGCUAGAGUUCUCUGCUAGCUGCUGUGCACCGCUGUCAGUGCACAGACGGGAUGGACUUUUUUUUCACAUUUUCUGCUGUUGUGGGAGUAUGGCAAGAGUUUGAGGGGGCGGAGAAAGGGAUUGGGAAUGUGAAAAGGGAAGAUAGCACCUGCGCUAAGCACAUUCCUAGGAUUGGGCCGCCUCUCGGGGAUGCAGAGUGGGCUCUUCCGCGCGCCCUGCAGCCAUGGGAGUGGACGCCUGCCCAGGCCGAGGGGCAAGGACUUGCGGGGUGGGGUCUCUGUGCAUGCGCGGAGCUGAAAGGGAGCGUUUUGCAGAUCUCCAUGCGUGCGCAACUCUCGGGACGUGGACGCGGUGAACAGUUACGCACAAUCGUCUUUCUGACACAAACACCUUGCCAGGUGGAAGCCAGGAUGGAGCGCAUGUGAGAACCGUAAGGCAAGAUCCCAAAACCAAGGAACGGAGCACUCUCCCCGCUUGCUCCCCAGAUCCAAGCCCUCCACUUCCUUCCAAUGUCCCCCUUCCCGAAACUGCUCCCUCUUGUAUAUUCUGAGAUCUUAUCUCUUUUCCCGUGAGGCCCUUGAUAAGGAGGAUUGAGAGUGAAGGGUGAUGGGAGACACGCCUCGGGCGUCUUCUGCCCACCUCAAGGAUUGAACUUUGGUAAUUGGAACUCAUUCAUUUGUUAAUCUGUGUGCUAGGCCCUUUCACCGGCUGGCCAGAUGCACCGGGACACAGGUGUAUUCAGCCUGGUCCAGAGAUAAGGAUGAUAAAUCUUAAUGUGAAGGUAUCAGAUGUUAAGGGCUGCGGAAGCCCAGAGGUUACAAGUGCUGCAAGCCAGGACAUGGGGAAACAACAGCAAUUAAGCCGUUAGCUUGUGCCAGACGCUGUGCCCCGUGCAGUUUCCACACAGUCUCAGAAGGGCAUGCUGGAUAAGAGAUAUCGUUAUGGCCGUGUUUAGAAUAAAUCCAAUUGGGCAUGAAGGGAAUAAGCAUGGAUGGGGGUCCUCAGUGGAAGAGGGAAUUGAGAGAUACUGCCUUCCAAGAAGGAAGGUGGUCUGAGAUGCAGUGAGAGUGGACAGCCUGCGAACCAUCCAGGAGGAGACAGCUGGGAGGCAGUUUGGGGUUGGCGCUCAAAAGGCAGAUUCAGGACCACUGGAGUCCCUAGGAAGGAAAGCAACAGGAGGUGAUGAACUUGCUGAGAGAAGAGUGAGAAACAUGGGAACCAGAACGAGGCCCAGAGGAUCAUAUUUAAUCAGGGGGGAGAUGAGAUGGCCUCUUGAAGGUGAUCAUCCCAGAGAACCUGACAAUGGAGAAGGUGGUAGAGAAGAACCCACUGGUGAAGCUGGGAGGUCAAUACCAGCCACCUGACUGCUGGGCACAGCACCACACAGCGGUAGUGGUGCCCUACUAUGGGCAAAACCAGCACCUGAAGUACCUGCUCUUCCACCUGCACCCCUUCCUGCAGUGCCAACAACUGCACUACGUCAUCAUCUAGGUGGUGAACCAGAUGGCCCCUCAAAGGUGAUAAUCCUCGAGAACAUUGGAGAUGGCCAGAGGAGGGAAGCUGAGAUGCUGAAAUUACUGACUUUGACUUGGAUGGAGGUGGGAAAUACAAGAGAAGUUUCUCAGGGGAGUAACCUUUGCAUUGCAUCGUCCUUGACAAGUCUGGGUUUUCUAACUACACAGUGGGAAAGAGAAGACAUUCAAGGUGGGGGAAUGGCACUUGAGAAGGCGAAAAAGGACUGGCCUGGUAGGUGGGGGAACACUGCUGCCUGAUGGUGGGGACAGCUCUGAGCAUCUGUGUCCACCCCAGGUAAACAACACUGCCUUCAACCAGGGCAGGCUAUGCAACGUGGGGUUCUGGGAGGCUAUACAGGAGGAGGACUGGGACUGUGUCUUCUUCCACGAUGUAAACCUGCUCCCAGAUGACUGCAACCUCUACACCUGUGACUUCAUCCCUGCCCAUGUGUCUGUGGCCAUUAACAAGUUCAACUACAAGUAGGUGGAGGGAGGGAACCUCCUGUGGGGGACUGCUGGCCAGGCCUUGCCUUUCCCUGCAUCUCACCCUGCCUAUCUGUGCAGUAAGGUUGAAGUCAAGGGUCCAUCCCUUGGUCCCUGUGGCUGAGGUAGGGAGGGAAUGGGUGAUGGGAUGUGGGGAAACCCUUACAGAUGGUGAACCUUCCUCUGAGACAUGGGUGUCAAGUGGGGGUGGGGGUGGUUAUUGAUAGAAAAGUCAGAAGAUGUGCUUAAUAAAGUGGUGAGCUGAGAGGUUGUUAUGGAGGUCAGAGGACAGGAACAUAGGAGAGGUCUGACUAGGGGUGAGAAAGGAGCUAUCCUAGGGUUCUGGGGAGAAGGGGCCAUCAACACAGUCACAAGAUGGGCCAGCCAGAUGACUUAGAAGAGGGGAUACCUAAGAGUCGGGUGAGGGCCAUCCCAAGGGUCAGUGGAAGGGUUACCCUGGGGUCAGAAAAGGGGACAUCCCAGGCUCAAGAUGGGACUAUCACAGGGGUCAGGGGAGAGGACAUCACAGGGUAAGUGGAAAAGGGCCAAUCUAGAAACAGACCUUGUAGAUCCUGGCCAGGAAAGGGCCGGGGCCCUCCCCUACAAGGAAAGUUGUGCUUCCGACUUUCUGCCUCCCCGACUUUCUGCCUCUAGGCUGCCCCACCCAGGCCACCUUGGAGGGGUGUUUGCCGUGCACCCCACGCACUACCUGAAGAUAAAUGGCUUCUCCAACAUGUACUGGGGUUGGGAUGAUGAGGAUGACAUCACUGCCAGGUGGGGGGCAGGAGCUGCAGGUCCUGACAUGAUGAGGCAGGUAUGGGCCACCCUGGGCUGAGGGGGACAUGGGCUACCCUGGACUGGAGGGCUGGGCUGUGGCAUGGGGACCCUGUCAGAGACAGGUGUUUGGCCUCCAUGCCUUCCUGUGUCUCUGGAAGGGUGAAACUAAGCGGGAUGCUCCUCUCCCGGCCCCACCUGCUUUUUAGACGCUACCAUAUGCUGGAGGGGGAAGACCCUGGCCACAAGCAGAGGCCUUGGAGGUGAAUCAGUGUUGGAAGUGGGGUGGUUGGUUCUGGGUCCUCCCUGAGGCUCACAUGACUGCCCCUCCCCAUCCUCUAGGCCUCGCCUUCUGUCCCAGAUCCGCCAAUCCUCCGAUCCCUCGAUCCUCCAAUGAUGGCAUCAACUCUCUGGGCUACAGGCUGCUCUCCAAAGAGCGGUUGCCCCUCUACACCAACCUCACUGUGGACAUAACUUCCAAGCCUCAGGAGACCCAGUGCCAAGCUGAGGGGUAUCUUAUCUGGAAGCCAGAACAGAGCCCCUGAGGGCAAGGUCACAGGGAAGCCCUCCCACUCACCCCACCUUGUUUCUUAUUAAGGUAGAGUUUAUUUUAUCUCCUUUUUGCCAUCCCUAGUUCCUUCCUUCCAUCCAUCCAUCUUCUUUCCCUUCCCUCCCUUCCUCCCUUCUCCUUCUCCUCCUCCCCACCACCCCUGCUUCUUUUCUCUCUUCUUUCAACUAUGUCCAGAAGGUCCUUCUUAACAAACACUAAUUAGUACAGGCAAAGGUCUCUUUAAGUGAAUGCAUUUAAAGUAGGGAGUCCACCUUUGUGGUAAAUAGUGUGCACGAGGUGAGUCUGGAUCAGGACUUCACACUUGAUAACAGAAUUCAGUUUCUCAAAAUACCUUUAUUUCAGAUUUAAUGAAAUUCCAUGUUUGUUGAAUCGUUAAGAACGAGCAUUUGUGUUGUACUCACGGUGGACAGCCACCAUUCUAAUGCUUGACUUUACAUAAUUAACGCAUGUAAUAUGCAAAGGAGCCACAAGGUGAGAUCUAUUAUUAUUCCCAUUGUGCCGCUGGAGAAAUUAAGGCAGAGAGGUUAAGUUGCUUGCCACCAAACUAGCGAGGGGCAGAGCUGGGAUGUGUAGCAUCCAGGUAGGCUGGCUCCAGAGCCCAUGAGCCUAACUGCUACUGUGCCCAACCUUUGUGCUAAUCCCCACAACAGUCAAAGGAUGGAUCAAGUACUGGUUUUGGGGGUGGGGGCAGGGGACUCCGGGCAGUAUGUUUUCUGAUCACAUCACAUGACAGUAGGACAUUCUUCAUUUCACCAUGGCUUUCACUGCCCAACAAUAAAAAGGUCAUGGGCACUUUGGGAGGCUGAGGGGGGCGGAUCACAAGGUCAGGAGAUCAAGAUCAUCCUGGCUAACAUGGUGAAACCCUGUCUCUAUUAAAAAUACAAAAAAUUAGCCGGGCGUGGUGGUGGGUGCCUGUAGUCCCAACUACUCGGGAGGCUGAGGCAGGAGAAUGGCGUGAACCCGGGAGAUGGAGCUUGCAGUGAGCCGAGAUUGCGCCACUGCACUCCAGAGCCUGGGCAACAGAGCAAGACUCCA